rfam:Aneurinibacillus migulanus strain DSM 2895 super7, whole genome shotgun sequence.
GUGCCCGUAGCUCAAUCGGAUAGAGUGUCUGACUACGAAUCAGAAGGUUGGGAGUUCGAGUCUCUCCGGGCACG